rnacentral:rRNA from 1 species
GACGAACGCUGGCGGCGUGCCUAAUACAUGCAAGUAGAACGCUGAAGAGAGGAGCUUGCUCUUCUUGGAUGAGUUGCGAACGGGUGAGUAACGCGUAGGUAACCUGCCUUGUAGCGGAGGAUAACUAUUGGAAACGAUAGCUAAUACCGCAUAACAAUGGAUGACUCAUGUCAUUUAUUUGAAAGGGGCAAAUGCUCCACUACAAGAUGGACCUGCGUUGUAUUAGCUAGUAGGUGAGGUAACGGCUCACCUAGGCGACGAUACAUAGCCGACCUGAGAGGGUGAUCGGCCACACUGGGACUGAGACACGGCCCAGACUCCUACGGGAGGCAGCAGUAGGGAAUCUUCGGCAAUGGGGGCAACCCUGACCGAGCAACGCCGCGUGAGUGAAGAAGGUUUUCGGAUCGUAAAGCUCUGUUGUAAGUCAAGAACGAGUGUGAGAGUGGAAAGUUCACACUGUGACGGUAGCUUACCAGAAAGGGACGGCUAACUACGUGCCAGCAGCCGCGGUAAUACGUAGGUCCCGAGCGUUGUCCGGAUUUAUUGGGCGUAAAGCGAGCGCAGGCGGUUUGAUAAGUCUGAAGUUAAAAGGCUGUGGCUCAACCAUAGUUCGCUUUGGAAACUGUCAAACUUGAGUGCAGAAGGGGAGAGUGGAAUUCCAUGUGUAGCGGUGAAAUGCGUAGAUAUAUGGAGGAACACCGGUGGCGGAAGCGGCUCUCUGGUCUGUAACUGACGCUGAGGCUCGAAAGCGUGGGGAGCGAACAGGAUUAGAUACCCUGGUAGUCCACGCCGUAAACGAUGAGUGCUAGGUGUUGGAUCCUUUCCGGGAUUCAGUGCCGCAGCUAACGCAUUAAGCACUCCGCCUGGGGAGUACGACCGCAAGGUUGAAACUCAAAGGAAUUGACGGGGGCCCGCACAAGCGGUGGAGCAUGUGGUUUAAUUCGAAGCAACGCGAAGAACCUUACCAGGUCUUGACAUCCCGAUGCUAUUUCUAGAGAUAGAAAGUUACUUCGGUACAUCGGUGACAGGUGGUGCAUGGUUGCCGUCAGCUCGUGUCGUGAGAUGUUGGGUUAAGUCCCGCAACGAGCGCAACCCCUAUUGUUAGUUGCCAUCAUUCAGUUGGGCACUCUAGCGAGACUGCCGGUAAUAAACCGGAGGAAGGUGGGGAUGACGUCAAAUCAUCAUGCCCCUUAUGACCUGGGCUACACACGUGCUACAAUGGUUGGUACAACGAGUUGCGAGUCGGUGACGGCAAGCUAAUCUCUUAAAGCCAAUCUCAGUUCGGAUUGUAGGCUGCAACUCGCCUACAUGAAGUCGGAAUCGCUAGUAAUCGCGGAUCAGCACGCCGCGGUGAAUACGUUCCCGGGCCU